rnacentral:lncRNA from 1 species
CCAUUUUACUCUUUAUUUCAAUAAAAUUUUCAUUAUCUUUUUCAAAAAGAUAGUACAUUAAAUGCAUCAAACGUAAAUAUAAAUUGGUAAUAAAACAAUAAAAGGGGUACAUAAAUUGCGCAAAGGUGCUUACAGAAAGAAAUAAAACUAUGUUCCAGAAUGAUAAAAUGUCUAACAAAAUUAAACAUAAUUGAAGGUAAGAAAAAUUACCAAAUUCUAAAUGAAAUAAAAUAGAAUAGUAAACUAUAUACAUGGGCAAUAUAUACUUGAUAUAUCAAUUGCACAAUGGUGCAAUGCACCUUUAGAAGCUAUGUAUUUUAAUACGUUAUAGUUUUUAGACAAAAUCAAUGAACAAUCUAAUCCAUAACUCAAGAAUGAUACAUUAAGUAGGUAAAUACACAUAAUUCUCAAACAGAAAAAAUGUCAUAUUCAAGAACAACUAUUAACAGCCACACCCUUGAAUAUUUGGUAUUAGAGUUAUUAGUCUUAGGGGGAGAUUACAAACCUACCCUAAAGUUAACUUGUUAAUUAAAUUAAUAACAAUUGAAUAUUAAUACUUGUGUUUGUCAUCAUCAAAAAGGGGGACAAACAAAAUGAGUUUAACAAUGCCUCUUUGAGUUUUGAUGAUAAUAAGGAAUUAAAAGUUCAAUUGAACUUGACCAAAAAAAAAAAAAAAGUUCAAUUGAAUAUGUUAAUAUUUGUUCAAGUGUGCAGGACCAUAGAAUAAAACUUAUAAGUCUUGAAACUAGGUAUUGGUUCUGGAGGAAAAAAUGAGAGAAAAAGUAUUUACAAGGGAAGCUUGGUUGCAAGUCAGAGUCUAAGACAUCAGAGUCUGAAGACCAUCCGAAACUGACUGUCAGAGUUCAUCAGAGUCUGAAGUGAAGAACAAGAAUUUAGUUAUUAUUUGAAAACAGCAAUGUGCAGAAGGAAUAGAAGACUGAAACAAGGAAUAUUUUUGAAGAGUUAGAAGGCAUUGGAUGCUUAUCCAUAGAGAAAUGUGUAAUGAUAUAAAUUCAACUUUUUUUUGGUAUAAUG